rnacentral:rRNA from 1 species
AACACAUGCAAGUCGAACGGGCGUAGCAAUACGUCAGCGGCAGACGGGUGAGUAACGCGUGGGAACGUACCUUUUGGUUCGGAACAACACAGGGAAACUUGUGCUAAUACCGGAUAAGCCCUUACGGGGAAAGAUUUAUCGCCGAGAGAUCGGCCCGCGUCUGAUUAGCUAGUUGGUAGGGUAAUGGCCUACCAAGGCGACGAUCAGUAGCUGGUCUGAGAGGAUGAUCAGCCACAUUGGGACUGAGACACGGCCCAAACUCCUACGGGAGGCAGCAGUGGGGAAUAUUGGACAAUGGGGGCAACCCUGAUCCAGCCAUGCCGCGUGAGUGAUGAAGGCCCUAGGGUUGUAAAGCUCUUUUGUGCGGGAAGAUAAUGACGGUACCGCAAGAAUAAGCCCCGGCUAACUUCGUGCCAGCCGCCGCGGUAAUAC